AGUUAUAUAGUAUAGUAGUAGUAUAUAUAUAUUCUAUAGGAUUUCUUUAGAUUUAUAGCUUAUCUAUUAAAAUCUUAUUCUUAUAUAAGGUAUAGGUUUAAUCCCUAUUAUAACCU